CCUACGGGCGACAGCAGUGGGGAAUAUUGCACAAUGGGGGAAACCCUGAUGCAGCGACGCCGCGUGAGUGAAGAAGUAUUUCGGUACGUAAAGCUCUAUCAGCAGGGAAGAAAAUGACGGUACCUGACUAAGAAGCCCCGGCGAACUACGUGACAGCAGCCGCGGUAAUACGUAGGGGGCAAGCGUUAUCCGGAUUUACUGGGUGUAAAGGGAGCGUAGACGGCAGCGCAAGUCUGGAGUGAAAUCCCAUGGCUUAACCAUGGAACUGCUUUGGAAACUGUGCAGCUAGAGUGCAGGAGAGGUAAGCGGAAUGCCUAGUGUAGCGGUGAAAUGCGUAGAUAUUAGGAAGAACACCAGUGGCGAAGGCGGCUUACUGGACUGUAACUGACGUUGAGGCUCGAAAGCGUGGGUAGCGAACAGGAUUAGAUACCCCAGUAGUC
rnacentral:rRNA from 1 species